GUUACCCGAGGAGGCAGCGGAAGGACCGGUGGCUUUAUAAAGAUCCCACUUGUUCACCGUCGGCCCCUGCUGCUGCUGCCGCCGCCGCCCGGUGUCUCCGCGCUCUCUUUCGUUUGUCUCCGCCAAGUAAGCACCAAAAAUGCCCAGCAAGAGGAAGAAGAACAAGCGCCGCAUGAAGAGGGUGCAGGCCCAGAGGAGAGCACUCGAAGAGCAGUAUGCGGCCAACCGGCCGGCCAAGGCGGGCCCGGCGAUUGCCGUGAGUGCGCCCCCUGCAGCGACCCCGAAGAAAGCGGCCAAACCUCCAGCACCGGCUCCAAAGAAGAUCCCAGAGGCCGUUCCCAUUGCUGUUCCCAUCGCCGUGCCCAUCGCCGUGCCCGUUGUGGAGACGCCCAAAGUCGAACCCAAGCCAGUUGUGGAGGAACCCGUCGCACUGCCCGUCCCAGUCAAAGAAGAGGCACCAGAGCCCGAGGCUGUGGUGGCGGCAGUGGAACAGACUCCGGCAGAAGUGGAGGUUGAAGUCCCAGCGCCCGUCGCCGAAGAAGCGCCGGUCGUCGCCGAGACGCCACCGGUGGCGCCUUCUGAAGUUGAAGCGCCGGUCGCCGUCGAGACCCUGUCGCCUUCUGAAGUUGAAGCUGCCGUAGAACCCGAGGCUGAGCCCGUCAUUCCUGAAACAGAACCAGUAGCUGAGGUUACACCCCCGGCUGAGGCUCCAGUGGCUGCUCCCGCUGAGACUGAGGUUACUACGCUCGCCGCCGAGGCUCCGGCAGCAGCUCCUUCGGAGGCGGAGGUUGAGUCGGUUGAAGCUACAAUCGUGCCCACGGAGACGGAACCAACCGAGGCCAAACAGACGCAUGAUGUCUGCGAGCCAGAGACUCGGGUGGAGGCCGCGGCCUCGGCAGAGGAGGACACAGUCGCUGCCGUGGGAGCGGUCGCCGCGGUCGAAGAGGUCGCCGCGGUCGACCAACAGUCUGCCGAGGCGGAACCUGCUGCAGCCGAGGAGGUCGCGACGGCGGAGGAGAAGAUCGCCGAGACCGAACAGGCGACUGAAGCCGGCGUCAGUCCUGCAGCCGAGGAGGAAGCUGAAGUAGAAGUGUUGGCGGAAGAAGACGCACCAGCGGUCCCCGCUGAGCCGGUUACAAUCGCAGAGACUGUUCCUGUCCAAUCUGUGGAAAUCCCAGAGGUGCCAGCCUCCAUCCCCGAGGCGCCGGUAGAAGAAACUCCCGUGGCUGAAGUAACGGAGGCGCCCGUCCCCCAGGAUGUCGCCGACGUGGUGGUCGACGACUUCGUCGUCACGGAGUCCGUGUCAGCAGUGGAGGACGCCAUUGCCGAGUCUGUCGCCGACAAAGAGGUUCUGACAGUUGAUGCUACAGUCGUAACCGCGGAGACCGAACAGGAAAUCGUGGUCACGAGCGACGCCCCCAGCGCCCCGACAGAGUCCGUGGAUGCGACCCCCGCUGAGCCCGAGCCCGCCGCUGCCCCUGCGUUGGACACGGUCAUUGAUGCUGCUGUGGAUCAGAAAUGUCUGACCGUGCUGUCAGAGGAACCAAAGCCAGAAAUCCGUGACCUGCCGUGUCAGAUGCAGCUCGCCGUCGAGUCCAUGCAACUCAACUCAAUGGAGACGCCAGUGGAGACGGCGUUGAAUGGACACAUGGUUCCAGAGGUCUCCAUUGAGGGUUAGAGCCCCAGAGCAGGACCUUCCCCCCCCCGUGUAAGUUUCUCUCAUAUUGAAUCAGUCCUUUUAUCGCAUAGUUUAAAGAAUAUUGCAUUCUGGAGACUCGAGUUAAGACUUCUUCCUGCAGCCACUCACCAGGAUCCUGUCUUCUUUGUGCAAUUUCAGAUUCCCCUUUGGUGCCUUUGAGGACUCAAAGUUUUAAAGGGGGGGCUUUGCGACAGAACCGUCAGGAAAUCCGAGGAAUAUCCACACUUUGAAGUGCCUCUCCUGCCCCCGGUUUCCUGUCAAAAGCCCCAAACCAGAUGUCAACACUGAUGCGUUCGGGGCAGCAGAGCGGACUGUUGUCAUUCGUUUGCAGAAAAUGGAAACGCACCUAUUGUGGCUCCUUUUAAAAAAGAUAAAUAAAAUUAAAUAAAAAAAAAAUUAAAUAAAUAUGUAUUUCUCUCCCUGGAUUCGAGCAGUGACCGGUAUUUCUUACAUAAUCCCAUCUCUCUCGAACAUCUGCGAACACUGUAGCCUAAGUGAAAGCGGCUACAGUUUGCACUUGGGCCUUUUGUUCAUACAUUUUUCCUGUUUUUCUGAUUCACAUUUCUAAAUCUGAAUUUGCUUCGUCUCCUGUACCCGGGAGUCGCAGUGUCAAACUUCAACCCAGCUUCUGUUUCCGCCUCCUCUCAGGGCCACUGCUAACAUUAGUCUAAUGCUACAACACAUCCCAGAACUAGACGUUGGGGUGUUUCUGUCUUUUUUUGUUUUGUUUGUUUCUUUCCCUCGCUCCUUUUUUUUUAAAAAUUUUGUAUAGAUCAUAUGAUGUGCUACAGUUUUGUGUUCAAAGUCUGCUCUGGAGGGAGGGAAGUGAUUUUUUUAUUUUAGGGCUGUUUGAUGGUCUGACUUGAUCUAACUUUGAAAUAAAGCUGUUACGCAUCGUGAUGCUGAGUACGUGUUUCACUGUUCAUACACGGUUACGACACAACGGAAAUAUCCAAUUUAAAAUGUAUUUAAUUUGCAGGUCAGUUCAGUAGCAACAACAAUCUUUUGAGGGCUUUCAAAGAUUGUUUUUUUCUUUCUAAUUUAUCCUCUUGGAGCUGCAAC
rnacentral:lncRNA from 1 species